rnacentral:rRNA from 1 species
AUUGAACGCUGGCGGCAGGCUUAACACAUGCAAGUCGAGCGAGCGGCGGACGGGUGAGUAAUGUCUGGGAAACUGCCUGAUGGAGGGGGAUAACUACUGGAAACGGUAGCUAAUACCGCAUACCAUCAGAUGUGCCCAGAUGGGAUUAGCUAGUAGGUGGGGUAAUGGCUCACCUAGGCCACGAUCCCUAGCUGGUCUGAGAGGAUGACCAGCAACACUGGAACGGAGAAACGGUCCAGACCCCUAAGGGAGGCAGCAGUGGGGAAUUUUGGACAAUGGGCGAAAGCCGGAUGCAGCAAUGCCGCGUGGGUGAAGAAGGCCUUCGGGUUGUAAAGCACUUUCAGCGAGGAGGCGUUACUCGCAGAAGAAGCACCGGCUAACUCCGUGCCAGCCGCCGCGGUAAUAC